GAUGAACGCUGGCGGCGUGCUUAACACAUGCAAGUCGAACGGAAAGGCCCAAGCUUGCUUGGGUACUCGAGUGGCGAGCGGGUGAGUAACACGUGGGUGAUCUGCCCUGCACUUCGGGAUAAGCCUGGGAAACUGGGUCUAAUACCGGAUAGGACCACAUUUUGGAUGGUGUGGUGGAAAGUUUUUCGGUGUGGGAUGAGCUCGCGGCCUAUCAGCUUGUUGGUAGGGUAAUGGCCUACCAAGGCGUCGACGGGUAGCCGGCCUGAGAGGGUGUACGGCCACAUUGGGACUGAUAUACGGCCCAGACUCCUACGGGGGGCAGGAGGGGGAAAUUUUGCACAAUGGGCGCAGGCCUGAUGCAGCGACGCCGCGUGGGGGAUGACGGCUUUCGGGUUGUAAACUCUUUUCGCUAGGGACAAGGCUUUUUUGGGAGGGACCUGGGAGAAGAAGCCCCGGCUAACUACG
rnacentral:rRNA from 1 species